AGGCGUAGAGAGCACGUAGCUUGGCAAGGGAGGUAAGGGCACUUCGAAAGAUUCCUUCUCAUCAUCUAUACAAGGAAAUGUGUUCUCAUCAAGCUAGGGGACAAGGCAAAUUAGCAACCUUUAUACUCGAUAUAUUAUUCCAAGCAAUAUUAUGAUGAUGAUCAAUACGGAAUCUCUGUAUCAUGAUCAGUGGAUGUAUCGAUCGACCAUCCCAAGAAAAAGGAUAUACGUACUCUGCAUAUGUGCAUGCCAACAACUAUAAAAGGAGACCAUGAGGCAAUGAGUUGAUCAUCAAAGCAAACACACAGAAAUCCCAACUAAAAAUCAAUCAGUGAGACAAUGGCUGGAACCAAUGAUAUUAAAAUUAAAGGGUUUGAUUUGAGCAACAACAAAGGCAACACGUCGGGAUUAACCCACUUCGCCAACAGAGCUGCCGAGGGCGACAAGGGCGACAAUAAAAUCGAGGUUGAGGAUGCUAAAGGGCAAGGGAACACGGGAAACUUGAAAGUACUGACCGACUUCGCCCAACGCGGUAAAGUGGGCCAGUCGGAUCGCCAAGAACUACUCAAACCUCAGGCAUGAAAUUGAAGAAGGCCAGACCACAACAACUUGUCUGCUUGAUAGAUAUAUGUGCUAAAUUAUCUACACAAAAAUAAGAGCUGAUGUUUUAUCUGAGGCUCCUUCCUUGGUUAGGCCUCGUUAUCAUGUGUAAUAUUAAUAUUAUUAUUCUAAUAAAAUAAUGGUAGCUUAUUAUUAAAUAUAUCAGAAUUCUAUACGUAUAACUUUUAGAUUAUUGAUACUGAUGUCAACAAGAGAAAAUGAUUAAAAAUUCCUUUCUCCAAUUCGUGAUGUUAGACAAGAAGCAAACAAAUUUAGGAUAAUGGAUUUUAAAAGUUUGGUGACAAAUGAUGGUAAAGAAGAAUUUAGCCACUACUACAAAAAGUGAAAAAGACGACCAGAAAACAACGACGGUCUAAGUGAAAACCGUCGUGGUUUAUAAAAAGACGACGGUUCUAAAAACACCGUCGUGUAAUACAACCUUAGACAACUAAAAAAUGGAGUUUCAAAUGGCUGUUCAAAAACAACGACGUACAUAAUUAAACAACCGACGUCUAUUUGAAACAGAUUUCCUCAGUGUAAAAUCAAUGCCAACAAAGAACGGCAGAAGUUAUGAAUCGACCGACGUAGAAAGUAAAGACGACGAUUUCAAUAAAAACUGCCGUUUUUACUCAUAAAAUAACACGACGAGGUUUUCGUAUAAGACGCCGUAUAAUUACAAACAAAUCCACGGCUUUAAAAUACAAAAUAUCGCCGUAUUAAAUUAAUUUACAACGACGGAAAAUAUAAAUAUAUCGACGUCAUUCUCGUAUAGUUCUACUACGUUAUCUUUAAAUCGUACAAUAAAAUUUAUCGUCGUAUUUAUUCAUUUUAUACGUCGUACCUUUAAUUUUAACGGUCGUCUUAAUAAGAAUUUUUGUUAACAAUUUUUUUCUUUGAUUUUCUUAUCCUACGUCGGUAGAUCUACUUAAUGACAAGAAUUGAAAUAACCACGACGGUUUAUAUAGAACACCGCCGACAUAAUCAGUUUUGUCUGAGAUCCCAAGGGUUACGAAAUCUUACCAGAUGGAACUCUGUUCCACAUCAUAAUCUUAACAGAUGACACAGAUUUGCAAAUAUUGCGUCGUGUUAGUUUACAAAUUCUAGAACAUUAAUUUCCCUCAUUUUAAAUUUCCUCGGGAAAGAAAAAUCUAUUUAUCACGCUUUGGAAUUGAAAACUAAAACUGAAAGAAUACGGGAAAAAAAACUCCAUUUAUAAUUUAAAAUUAAAAUCCACGUCGGUUGUAGUACACUUAACGACGUUUAACAAAAUAAUCUACGUCGGUAAUUAUAAAUCUACCGCCAUCGUAACUUAAUAUAGACGACGAGAAAAGACGACGGUAGAACAGAAAACCGCCGUUGUUUCAGUUUCUUUAACAUAUCUUUCUGCAGGACUUGUGUAGUUCAAAGCAUUGACAAUGUCUUCAUCAUAUCUCCCAGAAACUACUGAUUCAAUUGCUCAUGCUUUAGAGGCCAUCUGAAGCCAUUUCUAUUCUUUAUCGCAUUCUUGAAACCCAUCUUCUUCUUCUGAAGCUCUACGGAUAAAGGAAGAGGCUAUCACAAUAAAUCCGACGGAUCUUCUUAGGCAAGAAAAUCAAGCAGAGGAUCAGGCACAUCUGAUCUUCAGAUUUCCCUGAGAAGCGAACUUUCCUUCGACAGCGAGUGGAGGCCAGGCUUGCAUCUCUUUUGAUGGAAAGCAAGGAGUAUUCAGAAGCACUAAGUGUCCUAUCAGGCUUGAUCAAGGAAGUGAGAAGGCUAGUUGACAAGCUUCUUCUUGUGGACAUAUAUUUGAUGCGAGUAAGCUCAAUUUCUCUUUGAGAAAACAUCCAAAUUAUUAUCUUUGAGACAUGAGAGACUGAGAGAGGAAGAACUUGGAACCUUAAAUGUAAACCGAAAAUGAAUGAAAGCGACAAAUUUAUAGAAUAAAUUUUUAAAACCAACGGCGGUCCUUACAAACAAACCGCCGUUUAAAUUGUAAAAUCAACGUCGGUAUGAUCGACGUAUAUUACAGAAAUCCACGUCGGUAAAUUAAUAAAAACGACGUGUUAAAUAAUAUACCAUGACGCGAGUUAUUACUUAUGUACUUUAAUUUUUGAGUUUACUACGACGGUACCUACAAACUACUGUCGUAUUUAUUUACCACGUCCGAAGUUAAAUGUACCGUCGUAUUUUGUAAUUUAUACGUCGUAGUUAUAUGUAACCGCCAUAUUAUUUUUUUGAAAUGGUUUUAUAUGUAAGCAACUUUUCGUCUACUUGACUUACACAUUUGUUGUUUUUAUAUUCUUAUUUUAUUUAAAUCUGUCAUCCAAAAAAGAAACUUUACAUAUUGCAGAAUAUUAAUUUCCUUCGUUUUAAAUUUCCUCCGGAAAAAAAACUCUAUUUAUAACGCACUGUAAUUGAAAAAUAAACUGAAAGGUCACGGGAAAAAAAAUUCUAUUCAUAAUUUAAAAAUUAAAAUCCACGUCGGUUAUAUUAAACCUAACGACGUUAAAUGAAAUGAUUCCACGUCGAAUGAAAAAUAUUGCGUCGUUUUAGUUAAAAACGACGUAGUUAAAUGUAACCGCCGUAUUAUUUUUUUGAAAUGGUUUUAUAUGUAAGCAACUUUUCGACUUACACAUGCACUGUUUCCAAACCCGAUUAAAAAUUUCAAUCUCCCAGAGAAACCUUUUCGUCUUUUUUCCUUGUCAGAGCAUUGUCAGAGUUUUUCAUCGUCUUCCUCUCGUCUUCUUCGUCGUCUCUGAACUUAAACAUCGAUCAUCUUCCUCUUGCUUUCAUUGCACGCAAAAGGUAAGCUUUCAUUUUCACUAUUUUGGUUACUGUUUUGCAUGCUCAUACGUUUUUUGUUUGAAAAAUCUUUUUACCUUUUUUCUGGCCAAAAUCAUUUUACUUCUUUCCAAGUUUGAUAAAAUAUACAGACAAAGAGAGAAAGUUUCCAACUUUGAAGACAACUACAUCAACUAAAUAAGACGACGGUAGACCACGACGGUUCGUCAGUUGUUCUAGCGUCGUCUGAAAAUUGACAAAGUUGUUUUUAAAAUAAUAGUCUUUUUUUAUAUGCUUGUUUAAUUGCAGGUUUGAUUUCGCUGAACAAUGGUUUUUGUUUUUCCCUUAUUUGAUAAAAUAUAAAGAAAAAGAAACUAGGGUUGGUAUCUAAUAUAGACGAUAAAAUAUAAAUAAUAGUUUACCACGACGGUGUAUUACUAUUGACGUCGUGUGAACAUAUAUACCACGACGUUAUAUAAAUAAUGGUUUUAAACAUUUAUUACGUCUGAGAUUAUUUCAUUGCGUCGUCUAAAAUCAUAUCAUACGUCGUAUUUUUUUAAUACCGUCGUUUGUGUUCUUAAUGUUUUCCUGAAAUAUUUUCACUUGCAGUUUUGUCUGUUAAAAUGGUUUCUCAACAACAAACUAAGGAUUCUGGCUCCAAGAAGCUUGGAAUGGUAGCUCCUCAAGAUAAGUCUUCGAAGGAGAUGAAGUCUUCGAAGAAGAUGAAGUUUGCUUCAUCAUCUGCUGAGACAGAACAAACCAGCCAGACAACAAUCUCAGAUGAUUCAAAGACUGGUCGAGGUAUGAGCACAAUGCCUCGUGUUGUGAAGAGAAAGCUUCAGAAACUGAGGCCAAUUGUUGAGUACAAUAAAAGGGGGAAAGGUGUUGGCCAAGCACAUAUUGAGAUGCAGUCGUAUAUUGGUGUGUUGGCACGCUCCAGGAUCCCACUUGUGGACAAGAAAUGGUCCCAAAUCCCCAAGGAUAUAAAGGAGCAGAUUUGGGAAGCAGUUGACAUGGCUUUUGUCGUAGGCCAAGGGGGCAAGACCUCUGUUUUAGCUUCUGCUUCCAAGAAAUGGAAGGAUUUCAAGUCUACACUAACGAGGCAUUAUAUCCUUCCAUACACCAAUGACAGGGAGAAAUUAAGCCAACCCCCUGAAACAUAUAAAUUCAUAGAGAAAGCACAAUGGGAUGCCUUUGUAGCUUCAAGGCUAUCCAAAGAUUUUGAGUCUGUGCAUUCUCAACAUGCACAGAUUAGGGAGAAACUCGAGUACAAUCAUCGAUUGUCUCGAAAAGGAUAUGCUGGAUUGGAGGAUCAAUUGGAGGAAACCAUGCCUGGGGUAGAAAUUGAUCGAUCUACCUUAUGGAAGAGAGCUAGACAGGACAAACAUGGUAACAUCCCUGAUCCAAAGGUGGCAGAGAAAGCAAAAUUAAUUGUAAGCCUACUAUCACUCUGUUUUAAAUUUUUAUUAAACUGUGAAUUAUUCUUAUUACGUCGUAUGUUAUAUUUUUCGUCGUGUGAAUGAUAUUACCACGUCGAAAAGUUUUUAAAAACGUCGUUAAAGGUCUAAAUAGGAAUCACUACUAUGUUUUCUGUAAUUACAGCAUAAGACGUCGGUGGUUCAUUUUCGCGUCGUGUGAAUGAUAUUACCACGUCGAAAAUUUUUUAAAAACGUCGUUAACGGUCUAAAUAGGAAUCACUACUCUGUUAUCUUUAAUUAUAGCAUAAGACGUCGGUUGUUUAUUCAUUUCGUCGUUUUAAAUAAAUAACCACGUCGGUAUAACUACCGUCGUGAUAAGUUAUAAUAACGUCGGUUUAUACGUUAUUGCGUCGUGUGAAAUUAUAUAAUACGUCGUUUGUACAUAAAUAACCGUCGUGUGUUUUUUUGUUUAUCUUUUUUUAGGAUGAAUUGCAGAAACAAGUCUCGGAAGGCAAAGUCAGAGUAGAUGGCAGCAAUGAUGUGCUGACCAUGGCUUUGGGCCCCGAGCAUCCAGGCAGACUGAGGGGAGUUGGUGCUGGUGUUUCCCCAAGGCAAUAUUUCAAUUUGCCCAAACCACAGAGGGUGAGCUUUGACGACCGUUUGAAGGACAGUUUAAGAGUUCUCCUUCAAGAAGAGACUAAAAAGAUGGAGGCUAAGGCAAGGGAAGAGGCCUUAAGGAUGGAGGCUAGGACAAAACAAUUGGUAGAGGCUGAGAGGGAGCAUUUCCUGAGUCAGCUUUCCCAAUUAAUUCCCAAUUUUGAUCCAAGCAUGCUUAAACCAAGAAUUAGCCAAAGCCCCAAAAAUCCAAUGUCUGACAAAGCUAGCUGCUCUGGAGGUGAUGUGAGAUCCCUACAUUUGGAGGAUGAUACUGCCAAAAUGGGGAAACAUCAGCCAGAUGAAGAGAAGGAAGAAGAAAAAAGAGAUGAAGAGAAGGAAGAAGAAAAGGAGAAAGAAGAUGAAGAAAAGCAUGACGACAAGGUAUGUUCACAUAACUUUGCCUUUUUUAUUUGUUUUUCAAAAUUUCAGACGUCGAUAUUUUUAUUUAAUCCGUCGUUUGUUUAAAACUUAGACGGCGGAAUUUUUUUAAGACGUAAUAAAAUAUUUAAACGACGGUUUUUGCACCGUCGUUUAAAUGGUUUCAGACGACGCUUUAUUCAUAAAACCGUCGUCUUUAUUGAAUUACCACGACAGUUUUUUCACCGUCGUUUAAAUACUUUUAAGACGACGUUUUAUUACUUAAACCGUCGUCUUUAUUGAAUUACCACGUCAUUUUUUUUAUUUCUUUAAACAGGUUAUUGAAGUUGGUGCUUAUUCAAAAAUGGAGGCGCCAUCUUCUUUAAAAACCCUUUGUCGUUUUGUGGAAACGACACUCCUGCCUGAGGAUAAGACACUCCAAUUUACAAUUGAUAAGGAGGUGUUUGGUGGUGAGCGCGAUACCUUCCUCCUGCCUGAAGAUAUUACACAAUUUGCAGGCAUGGAAGAAAUUGGAGCUACUGUAUUGGCUGUAUAUAUGAGGUUUGUACUUCUAAAAUAAUACCUCGUUGGUUUAUAUAUUGCGUCGUCUUAACUAACUAACCACGUCGUCUUAACUAACUACCGUCGUGAUAAAUAUAUUAUAACGUCCUCAUCUAUUUCAGUACGUCGUGUGAAAUAUUAUAAUACGUCGUUUUUUUAUACAUAACCGUCGUGUUUGUUUGUGCUGACUUGUUUAUAUUAUUUUAUGUAUUUAGGUACUUACACGAUGUUUUGAAACAAGCCAAUAUGUGCAGCAUGGUUGGCUUUAUUGACCCUGCUACAGUUAGUGCCAACUCUGGCACAAUAACUGAAAGAUCACGACUGGUAGCAGCUCGACUUCAGAAGACAGACGGUGAACAGCUUUUCAUGAUGCCUUACAAUCCAGGGUUAGUCUCCUUAGGAUUUUGUUUUUAUGAUUUUCAAUAAAUGACAGCUUAUAAACUAACCACGUCGGUGUUUUAUUUUAUUUAGUCGUUUGAAACUACUAACCACGUCGGUAUUUAUUUGUCGUCGUGAUAAAUAUAUAAUGUUGUCGUUAUCUACUUUAUUUCGUCGUGUGAAAUACUAUAAUACGUCGUUUUUGUAAAUAACCGUCGUUUUUAUAUUAAUUUUGUGCAGCCGUCAUUGGAUCCUGCUGAUUGUAAGAGCAAAGAAGGAGACCGUCUAUUUUCUGGAUCCUCUGCCAGGUCAUCGUGUGGUCGACGAAGAGGCGAAAAACAUCGUGAACAGUGCUUUAAAAAUAUAUAAUACCCACAUAGGCCGAGCAGGACGUAAAAAUGUAAUUUGAAAAACUCUCUCAGGCACACCAAAGCAACCCAGCAAUGUCGAAUGCGGGUAUUAUGUGAUGCGCUUCAUGAGGGACAUCAUCAUGGAUCCUUCCUUGGGGUUUGAGAAUAAGGUAAGAAGAAAUUACCUUCAUACAUUUCACGUCGUUUUUUGUAUUAUCAACGACGGUCAUGUAAAAUUAACGUCGUUGAAUGGAUAUACUACGUCGGUUAUGAAAAAUAUCGUCGUCUGUGAUUGAAUUUCUUUUUAUUUAUAAACCCUAAUAGUCAUUGUUUAUGCAGUAUGCCAAGGGAAACCAGGAAGCUUCAUACCCCCAAGAAGCCAUUGAUGAAGUCCGGAAUGAAUGGGCAGAGUUUGUUUUCCAAAUUAUUAAACAGGGCAAUUAUUGAACACUUGAUAUUUAUGUAUAAUGUACCAAUUUUCUCUAUAAUAUGUAAUGUAAAAAUUUGUUGAGGUUUUCUUAAAUUAAAAAAAAAACAAACAUACAAAUUGCUUAACCGACGUGUAAUACUUUUCCAACGACCUAAUAAAGUCACAAACCGUCGUAUUUUGUUGUUUCGUGUUUUAAACAAUUACGACGUAAAAAAAUAGUUAGACGACGUUCUUUGAACAAUUGAGUCGUUAAUGGUUUACAAUAUCUUCAAUUUCUUAAGGGUUCAGGGUAUAAUCGACGACGUUUAUGUAACGACUGCGGUUAAGUCGUAAAAUAUAUAUUUUACGUCGUAUAGUUAAAUAGCCGCCAUGGUUUUUCAUUUUAACGACGUCAUUUUAACGACUUAGUAGUCUAUUACAAUUUACAACGUCUACAAUUUAUUAACACCGACGUGGUUUGUUGUUGUGGUAAGAAUAUUUUAUUAUUUUUAUAUCAAAAUAUUCAAAAUAAAUUUAAAAUAAAUCAGAAAAUUGAAAAGUCAACUCCUAUGAAGUCAUUGAUAUAUUUUCUUCCACAUAAACCUUGAAAAAAUUCAUUUUGAAUAACAAAAAUUUAAAAUGACCAUCCAAAACAAAAUUGUUUUGAUGACUCAUAAAAUCACUUCUAGUUUUAUGGUUUAGGGUUUAGAGUCUAGGGUUUAGAGAUUAGGGUUGUUAUUUAUUGGGGUUUAUUUUUAAAGUAUAAUUUUUGGGUAGUCUAGGGUAUAUGUUAGGCUUUAAAACCAUAAAACCUUUUAUAAACUUAAUUUUUUAAAUUGUAUAAUUUAAUUUUAUGGGUUUAGGGUAUUAAUUUUUAACGACGGUGGUUGGGUCGUGGAAUACAUAUUUUACGUCGUACAGUAAAACAUACGACAUGGUUUACGCUUUAAACGACGUCAUUUUAAUAUGUAAGUCGGUUUAUAUAAUUUACAACGUCAACGUCUUUAAUUUCUUAACACCGACGUGGUUUUUCAGUCGUCGUUAUAUAAAAAAUUCAAAAUAAAUUUAAAAUUAAUCCGAAAAAUGAACGGCCUUACGUUCUUAAUCCGAAAAAUGAAGUUUCCGUCGUGGAAUAUUAAAUUUACGUCGGUACUUGUAGAACUUUCGCCUUGGUUUUUCUUUCGACGUUUUAAAACGCGCGCGCUCUAAAAAUUUUCGCGCGACCUAAACUUUUUUAGAUUUGGCUCUUAUUCUUAUACUUCGAACCCUGAAACCUAAAANNNNNNNNNNNNNNNNNNNNNNNNNNNNNNNNNNNNNNNNNNNNNNNNNNNNNNNNNNNNNNNNNNNNNNNNNNNNNNNNNNNNNNNNNNNNNNNNNNNNNNNNNNNNNNNNNNNNNNNNNNNNNNNNNNNNNNNNNNNNNNNNNNNNNNNNNNNNNNNNNNNNNNNNNNNNNNNNNNNNNNNNNNNNNNNNNNNNNNNNNNNNNNNNNNNNNNNNNNNNNNNNNNNNNNNNNNNNNNNNNNNNNNNNNNNNNNNNNNNNNNNNNNNNNNNNNNNNNNNNNNNNNNNNNNNNNNNNNNNNNNNNNNNNNNNNNNNNNNNNNNNNNNNNNNNNNNNNNNNNNNNNNNNNNNNNNNNNNNNNNNNNNNNNNNNNNNNNNNNNNNNNNNNNNNNNNNNNNNNNNNNNNNNNNNNNNNNNNNNNNNNNNNNNNNNNNNNNNNNNNNNNNNNNNNNNNNNNNNNNNNNNNNNNNNNNNNNNNNNNNNNNNNNNNNNNNNNNNNNNNNNNNNNNNNNNNNNNNNNNNNNNNNNNNNNNNNNNNNNNNNNNNNNNNNNNNNNNNNNNNNNNNNNNNNNNNNNNNNNNNNNNNNNNNNNNNNNNNNNNNNCUGUUUUUGUUUAAAACCCGUCGUCUCAUGUUGUUUAUACCUUGCGAUUAGAUCAUGUAUAAUCUGCUAUAGUGAUGGUCAUGCCUGUAUUUUCACUUUUAUAUAGAUAAUAGGUUAUAGUGUCGGAGAUGGAUAAGUCAUGGAUGCACUCGGAUAGAAGAUCGAAGGCAUAUGAGUUUGGGGUGGAAGCAUUUUUGAACUUUGCUGUAGAAAAUCUUCUAACUACAACACAUAUCCGUUGUCCAUGUGUUAAAUGUGUUAAUUUGAAGUUGUUUGGGGUUGGAAUUAUAAGGGAUCACUUAUACUUUAAUGGAAUUGACCAAAGCUAUAAGAAUUGGACAUUUCACGGAGAACCUUGGGAAGCAACUACUAAUGCUAGCAGAAAUGUUGAAGAAGAUGAUGGCCAUAGUAGGUACAGUUUUGUGUCUGAAGAAAUUGAUAUGGAUGAUAAUGAUUUUGGUGAUUUUGGUUCGGAUCCGUAUGAGUUUGCCAAUGUGAUUGGGGAUGGAGAUCAACCAGUGUACCCUGGUUGUAGAAAGUACACGAAGUUAUCGGCAUUAGUGAAGUUGUAUAAUUUGAAGGCAAAACAUGGGAUGAGUGAUGUCUGUUUUACAGAAUUAUUGAUACUUCAAGGCGAUUUGCUUCCAGAAGGAAAUACAAUACCAACCUCCAUGUAUGAGGCUAAAAAGACUUUGUGUGCAUUGGGGCUGAGUUAUGAGAAAAUGCACGCAUGCCCCAAUGAUUGCAUCUUGUAUAGGAAGGAGUAUGAGGAUUCAACUAAUUGUCCUACUUGUGGUAUCUCAAGGUGGAAGGAAGGCAAAGAUGCAAUCUUGAAAGAGGGUGUGCCAGCGAAGGUGGUGUGGUAUUUUCCCCCAAUUCCAAGGUUUAAAAGGAUGUUUCAAUCACAUGAGACAGCUAAGAGUUUGACUUGGUGGCAUGUUGCUAGAAAAUCAAUUGACGGUCAGAUGUCUCAUCCGGCGGAUUCCCCGUCUUGGAAACUUCUUGAUGAUAAAUGGCCUGAGUUUGGUAAUGAGCCGAGAAACUUGAGAUUGGCUCUUUCAUCUGAUGGAUUCAAUCCCCACAGUUCUCUAAGUAGCAGAUAUAGUUGUUGGCCGGUUAUCUUAGUUACAUAUAAUCUCCCUCCAUGGCUGUGCAUGAAACGAAAGUUCAUGAUGUUAACCUUAUUGAUUUCCGAUCCUAAACAACCCGGAAAUGAUAUAGACGUCUACUUGGAGCCUUUGAUUGAUGAUUUAAAAUCCUUGUGGGUUGGGAUUAGAGGAGUGUAUGAUGCACAUAAUGGAGAAUACUUUACACUCAGAGCUGCAUUAAUGUGGACAAUUAAUGAUUUCCCCGCCUAUGGAAACUUAUCUGGUUGUGUUGUUAAAGGAUAUAAAGCUUGUCCAAUAUGCGGCGAUGAUACACCUAGUCAAACAAAUAUUUUUUGUUGACGACCCGAUGCAUCGUGGUUGGUCGUGUAGGCGUGUGAGUGUGUGUUUGUGUUUGUUUUUGUGUGUGUGUGUGUGUGUGUGUGUGGUGUGUGUGUGUGUGUGUGUACCAUUACUNNNNNNNNNNNNNNNNNNNNNNNNNNNNNNNNNNNNNNNNNNNNNNNNNNNNNNNNNNNNNNNNNNNNNNNNNNNNNNNNNNNNNNNNNNNNNNNNNNNNAUGUAAUUGGCAGUGUAUGACAUUAAUUUUGUAAUAUAUUGUAAUGUGAUUUCUUCACUUUCUACGUUCAAAUAAAACACGACGUUAUUGUGAAUCAGUUAUUCAGCAUAUUUACCGACGUCUUAAAGCAACGUAACAAUGAAGAACCACGACGCUAUUGUGAAGCAAUUAUUCAGGAUAUCACGUCGGUGAAGGAUAAAGAACCGCCAUGUAAUUCAAAAUAACACGACUCCAAUCCCAUAAUACCGACGUCUAAAAAACGAGAUAUGUAAUCUGAACGUUAAAAAAUACGACGUCAUCAUACAUUUUCCACGUCGCAAGUUCUUUUAUAAACGAAGAGGAACGAAAUUAAUUCCGACGGAAAUUCAUUAUAACCGCCGUCUAAUAACAAUUAAACGACGUUAUUUGUAAUACGGCUCCCAUCAUAAUCUACGCCGUCUAUAUGUUCUGUAAUACGGCUCUCAUUUAUUUGGAACCGACGUUGUUUAGACGUUCAACGUCGUCUAUAUUAUUAAGUGCGUCGUGAGUAAUGAAUACAUAUAAAUACAACGUCGACUAUAUAAAUGUAUACGUCGUAAAUAAUGACACUGACAACUAUUUCCACGUCAUCUUUUUUAGAUAAAAUCGAAGUGGAAAAUUUAUUUCACGACGGUUUUUUGUAAAUAAGAGACGUUGUAGAACUUUAGCAGACUAAACACGUCUGUUUUUAUUGUUUUCCGACGUUGUUGUAUUUAACAACGUCUAAUAUUUAUGGUCGUUGUUUGUUUCUGAAAAUAGGACGUAUAAAUUUUUUAAUACGACUCUCAUAUAUUUGUAACUGACGUUGUUUAGUUUUUCAACGUCUACUAUAGAAACACAUACGUCGUAAAUAAUGACACUGACAACUAUUUCCACGUCAUCUUUUAUCAAAAAAUCGAAGUGGAAAAUUAAUUGUACGACGGUUGUGUUUAUAUGUGCGACGUAGUAGGUAUCAAUAACAUCGUCUUCUAAUGUAUUUAAAGACGUCAUAUUUUUUAUUGUCGUGAAAAUUAUAUUUAACGUCGGCGUAUUUUUAUUGUCGUCGUUGUAUGUCUAUCUUGCGGCCUUGUUCUCUUAAUAUGUGUCAUAUUUUCCCUUUUUAACGACGGUCUUUUUAGAGAAUUGGUCGUCUAUUAUCAUCAUCGAUUGCUUUUUUUAGAUCUUUUUGCAGUACAAAGACGUCGUUUUGUAUUUUUUGAUGACGUUGUAUUGUUUAACAACGACGGUUAUUUAGCGUCGUGGUUUAUGAGGGAAAAGAUGACGGUGGAUUCCACGACCAUUGAAAAACCAAAUACACGACGGUGAUUUACCGUCGUCUUUUUGCUUUUUUGUAGUAGUGAUCGGAAACUUGACUAAUUAGAAUACAACAUAUGUCGAAAUAUUUUUAUCAUAAAUGGUCUCUAAGGUUCGUGAAAUUAUUAGCUUUAGUCCUUCAUGUUUUUUUGUGACAUCAUUGGUCCUUUAUGUUACUCCUCUUCACACAUCAAUUUGGUUCUGCCGUUUGGAUUCGUCAAAAUUUAUGUUAAAUUGAUGGCAUGACAUGUAUAUGGUGCCUACAUAUCCAAUGAGAUAAUGACCCGUGGAUCUAAGUAAAAAAUUUGUUUUAAAAAAAUAGUUUCAUAUUUAAAAUUUUUAAAGGGCGAAGACUCAUUGGGUAACUCGAAGUUUGGGUUGUUGAAGCCUUCAAGCAUGGUUUUGCUCACAAAAGAUUGGAACGCAAUGUGUUGGGUUGAGCACUGAAAACCAAAGAAUAUCAAAAAUGUAGUAGGGGGGAGAGAGAGAGAGAGANNNNNNNNNNNNNNNNNNNNNNNNNNNNNNNNNNNNNNNNNNNNNNNNNNNNNNNNNNNNNNNNNNNNNNNNNNNNNNNNNNNNNNNNNNNNNNNNNNNNACCUCAUGUCAGCACUUAAUAGAAAAUUUGACGGACCCUAACGGCAUGGAUCAAAUUGAUGUGUGGUGUGUAACAAAAAGGAUCAAUAAUGUCACAAAAAACAUAAAGGACCAAAGUUGAUAAUUUUGCGAACCUUAUACACCAUUUAUGAUAAAAACCCUAUAUUGUAUAAUUUUAGUGUGUUUUUUUCUUAAAUGCUAUUGAGAAGAGAUUUUAUAAAACUGCUAUAUAAAAGGUUCACCACAAUGCUAUAAAACAAUAGUAGAUUAUGGCUCUCAGAUGUUUUCAUCUUCUUAUUCAUCCAAGCAGAUCGAUAACAUAUGGUCACUACUGACUUUUUCUUGUAGUUCUCAACAUCCAUCUUUCAAGCCAUCAACCAAGUUGUUGCAUUGCUCCUCACUGUUAGAAAAGCCUCGUUUCCCUCCUCCUCCUCCAUUGAUUGAAGGAGAGACAACAAAAGCAACUUAUGAAACAAGCCCCUCAUUUCCUUGUUAAACAUAAAUCGACCCAUUAUUGAUGAGGACUGAGAAUCUAAGAGCACACUAGUAAUUAACCUGAGUGGGGAAUAUGGAUGAUGGAUCUCUCUCUCUCUCUCUCUCUCUUGAAAAAAUCAACUUCAUUAUCCUUGGUGAAUUUGUUCUGAAUUAGUCGUGUCCAGCUACAAGCAAUACUGUACGUAGUAUAUUAUUCUCUGCAUUUGUGCAUGCCAACAACAAACAAAUAUUAUUCUCUAUUAUAGCAUAUAGGCCGUCAUUUUCAAUCCUUAUAAGAGAAAACUUGCUUCGCCAUAAGAGUACGUAGCUUGGCAAGCAAGGUAAGGGUACUUCAAAAGAUUCCUUCCAUCAUCUAUAUAAGACACAUGUGACAUUGCAUGUCUCAUCAAUCAUGUUAAGAUAAAGCUAGCUGGCAAGGCAAAUUACCAACCUUUAUGCUCGAGUAUAUUAUUCCAAGCAGAUAUAAAUGUUAAUAUAUGUGAAGAAUAUUAUGAUCAAUAUAGAAUAUGUAUCAUGAUCAGUUAUGGUAUCGACUGUCAGAAAAUAUCAUCCGCAUAUGUGCAUACCAACAUUAUCGAAAGACAGUAGGAGUAUCGUCAUAUCCGAUACAAGUAUCGGAGCAUGGGUAAGAGUAUAUAUACAAGCAUACCCGUCCAAUUAGGAGAAUCAGUGCAACAUAGAUGAAAAGAAAUUAGAUGUGAUUUCACAUAUUUUUAAAGAAUAGGGGAAAUAAACCAAUUAAUCUCUUUUGUCUUCUCCAUACAUUUUUGGUUGUGAAUUUUGGUUUUCGAAGAAUUUGGCAUUUCAAGCAACUUGGAAAACAUUUUGAUGAUCCAUUGAACCUUGUUAAAGUCGAUAUUCAAUCUCUAUGGACUUUGGCCGAAAUGUCUCAUUUCAAUUGGAAAGUGACAUUGAGAUUUGAAAAGACUAGACAUUAAGGUGGCAAGAGAAGUCUAAAAGGAUCAAACAGAAAAAAAUAAUGAAAAAUUGAAAAUAACCUAGAAAGGGGAGAAAAAAUUAGUUGCAAUAGGGAUAAUAAUGUUUGAGUAAUGCUAAACGAACUCUAAAAUUAACUUAGUACACCCUACUAUCAAACUAUUUAUUGAAUUACUAAUUUACCCUAAUAUAAAAUGACCAAAAAGGAUAUAUUGAAUUGUGCAGCAAAUGUAAUUUUAAUAAGUACACAUUACUCACCAUAUUCAACCCUAAUAUUCGAUGGAGGCGACAUUGAAUGCUAUGAAUCCAACCCAAACCCACCACCACCGUCCCUCUCUCUCUCUCUCUCUCUCUCUCUCUCUCUCUCUCUCUCUCUCUCACAAAUUAUCUUAUUUGCUCUAAAUUUUUUGCAAUGAGUCAGAAUCUUCUAUGUGUAUGUGGCAUUCGUUCAUUAGACUUGGUUAAUGCAUUCAACCCACCCAAAACAAUAAUCAUUUGAUGUUCAUCCUCGAUGUUGGUGGUUUCAAGUGAGCAUGUUCCCAAACGGCUCUUACACUUGCCCACUAGAACUCCAGCUCCUCACCCUCUGAUGAAUCUAAUGACAAUUAUGUUGUUGUUUGCACCAUAAACACCAACUUCCAACAACUCCAAUACAACCUAUUUCUUCUUAAUUAGAUACCUUGGGGGUUGAUAGCAACCUCAAUAGUCUAAGAAACAAACCCACUUCGGAAUUUUCCUUCUUCCACUAGUUGAAGGGAGAUGGGUUCCAACACGAUAUUACGCGCUUAUUAGAAUCUUAUACUCGUCGAGUCUGGGUUGGCUGGUGAUAAGCAGGGGAAGGGUGGAGUUGGGUUGUGUUAGAGAGAGAGAGAGAGAGAGAGAGAGAGAGAGAGAGAGAGAGAAAGAGAAAGAGAGAGAGAAGGGCGGUAGUGGUUGGGUUGGGUUGGAUGCGAAAGGGCUUAAAUCAGAGGAGGAAGGACGGGUUUGGCUGGGUGGGUGACAGGACCCGACCCAAUUUCCGCUUUGGAAUCCGAGCUGAAUCCUGUGCGUGUCCGACACCUGGCGAAUGUCGGGCACGAAUGACCUUUUUACCCUUCUCUUUUCAAAUUCUUUUUUUUUUUAAACUUCCCUUAGACUUCUACCGAAAAUUCGACAGAGUCUCCCCUGUAUUUUGACCAAACCCAAAGUCUUCCACCUGUCAAACAGUCUCAAAUAACACACCAACUACCAGACUAACUCAACCAACAGAUCUCAACUCCAGUUUCUCAUGUUCAACAAGAUAUCAAAGCAUUUCUAUACAAAUUUACAGAACUAUGAGAAAGUUACAACGAGAUCCUACACUUUGGGGGUGGGGCGAAAGCUGGGAAGAUGGCCCGAGUGGUUUCCUUCGUACUUCUAUGGCCUGGGGGCGAAAAACAAGGUUAAAAUUGUGAGUGGACAAAAAUAAAAUUCUUUAAAACAAAAACAAGUUAGAACAUAAUAACCCCCGUUUUGAAAUACUAGGGAUAUAAAUCGUUAAUUUAGCUAUAUUUCAAUAUAAGGAAUUCAAUAAACAUGAAUAAAUAUACUGACGAAUAAACUUGCAUAACUGAUCAAAUAUAUAUAAAGAUAAUAACGCAUGAAUAUCAAGAAACUGGUAUAAAAUCACGGGAAAUCAUAACUGGAUAAAAGAGCUCAAAAUCCUUUGAAACUACCACCUAGAUGUACCCCUGUCAUAUCCGUCAAUUCCCCUGGCAGGUCUCGGGCGUCACGCAGUCUACCCGAGCCGCAAACUGGCGAAAUCAAGGGACUAUGAUCAGCCUGAUCCGCCGGCAGGUCUCGAUGACACCAAGUCGACUCGAGCCGCUCUGGCAGGAUGCAGGGGACCGCAGUCAGCCUGAUCCGCAAUCCUGGCAGGUCUCGGGGACACAGAGUCAGCCGAGCCGCAAAUCCUGGCAGGUCUCGGGACACCAAGUCUGCCGAGCCGCAAAUUCUGGCACUCACGGUCCGAGCGUCCCCGAAACUCGUGAGGCAAAGUCAAGUGCACUGACGUAACUGAAAUCAGACUGGAUGUUCGUAGACAUCGGUCCGACUGUGGGUAAUCACCAUAAAUAGAUGGGUACAUGGUGGUUUAACAAGAAAUUCUGAUAACUCUCUGAAAUCUGAUAAGUCUGAACUAAAUUACUAUCUUUGUAUCAAAAGUCUCAAGUUUACUGCUCAACCAAUAUUAUAAAAAUAAAGAUAUUUCACAAUGCAAAUCAUGCUUCGAAAUUACGUAAUAACACUUAUUCAAGAUCAAAUAGAAAAUAUAAUUAUAAAAUCUUUUAGGAAAGAAAAGUCCACUCACUGUUGGUCCGAGCUAUCUGGACCCUUCGAAGAUCCCUCAUGUGGGUCAACUGGACCUCUGGUGCCUUACUCGAUUGAUUUGGUGGAGAAUUGAAGGAGAACGAAGGAGAUGAAGUUUGGAUGAAAAACAGGCGGAAAUCGCCAGUUUCCGGCCAAUUCCCGGCGGUCCAAGGCCGGCGACGGGUCGAGGAAGGGAGGCGGCGGCGAGGCGGACCGAUUGACACCAACGGCGGAGGUCGCCGUGCCCUGUAGCGACGGCACGCUCGAUCUGAAACAGGGAGGGGGGCGGCGGUUGCGACGGGAGAGAGAGAGAGAGAGGAGAGAGAAAUGAGGAGAGAGAAGAGAGAAGGAAGAGAUAAAAUCUGACUUUUUUUUCAAAUUACCGUUUUGCCCUUCGAGGUAAUUUAAUCGUAUCUUCUUCAUUACAAUUCCAAUUCGGGUCUACUCCGUGUCUACGGACUCGUUUCGCCGUGCUCUACGCAACGGCGCAAGCGAAAUUCUCAAAUUCUUUCUUGAUCAAAAAGUCAAAUUUUCCCCUAUUAAAAUAUGCGAGGGCAAAAUCGUCUUUUGGGUAGAAUAAAGAAAUCCUAAUUUUUAGAUAUUUUAGUUUGGGUUAUUACAGUGGGGGGUGGAGAGAUGAUGGGAGGUCGAUUUAACAGGGUUAAGUGUUGUUAAGUGGUUUACCACAUGUCAAAAAAAUAGAAGGAAAACAUGUCGGGCACAUGGCAUUUGGUAACAGUAAAAUUGGACUCAUGAAUGAGUUAGGUGUUGUGUGAUAGAGUGUAUUAGGGUGUACCAUGGGUAUUUUUAGUAGUUAAAUAGGAUGUACUGAGUUAAUUUUAUAAUUUGAUUUAAAUAUUAGGGUAUACUUAGAUCAUAGGGUGUACUCAGUUAAUUUUAAGGUUUGUUUAGCAACAUUCUAAUGUUUUGUUAUCCCCGGUCAAUAAUUUUAUAUCGUGUGGCUUAGAAGGAGGCCUGUUAUCCAACUCAUCUGGUCCACCGUCCAUGAUAUGAACCCGACUUGAGAAUCUUUUGGUGAAGUAGAACAACCCAACUUGAGAGUUGAGGCAGCCAAACUAGAAGGGAAGCAUCCCCACUCCAGUCCCGCUCCCCAUGUGCCCAAUACUUUGCUUGUUUACUUCACCUUUUAAACCUUUUAGGAUUUUCCAUAGGCUAAGAGGAAAACAACAACAUUACGGCCCAGUUUACGAAUGGAUUCGAGGGGAAAUUACUUCCCAUGCCAUUUUUUAAGGGAUGGAAAAUGGAGAUUCAUUUCCCAUAUUUGAUAAUCCUAGGAAAGUAACUAAGAAAUACUACUUUAUUUCCUUUCACAUAUUUGGUUUGUGUAGGAAUGUAAAACAAAGUUAGUUUAAUUUUUCAAUUAUAUCCAUAUGAAAUUAAAUUUUAAAAAAAAUGUAUUUAAUGCUAUAUUGUUAAUGGGGACAAUAUGGUCAUGAAAAAUGUGUAUUUAAUGUUGGCUAAUUUUCUCAAACUUUCUCAUGUGCAAGACAACGAUUUCUCAUGCCUAGACUUACCAAAUAUGGGAAAGCAAUUGAUUUCUCAUCACCAAGCCUCCUUUCCCAUGAACCAAACAGGACCUACAAGUUAUUAGCUUCAAGCCUUCAAGGAUUUUCAUAACAAAUCUUCCAAUCUCACACAAAAAUAAAAAAGCAUCCAUGUAUGUAAUUUCUAGAUUAAAAUCUCACUUUUUAGGCAUUCCAUUUUCUUAGGAUUAGGUAUUACUACGCACGGACAAUCUUACGAUUAUCUGCAAUUCAUCCUUCAAUAGCUAUGGACGUUAUAUCAAAUCAACAAUAAGACGUACAUUUCUUCAAAGAACUAAAUCAUGCGGAUGUCAACUUGCUCUCACUUAUAUGUUUGUCUCUCCAUAUGAGGAAGGGUGUUUAGCUUAAGGUUUUAGGGCGCGGUUGUCUAAGAACAAUAAGGUGAACAUGUUUUGUCAAAGUACAUGGGAGACCUUUAUCUUCAAACACAAAAAAUGGCCAAAAUUAAAUUAGCAAGGAUCGACAUAUGGAUGUGAGCUUUUACACAUUGCCACUAAUUCUCUCCAUACUUUUGUUGAAAUCAUUUACAAAAUAAGAAAACUUUAGUAAUUGAAGCGAAAGAGAAGAAUUACCAGAACAGAAAAUAAGAAAAAAGAAGCACCUAACCCAAACUUUAAGUCACGAAUUUAACAGUUUACUUUUUAAAAAAAGUAAGUUACAAAACAAUCCCCUUAUUGAUGAGGAUUGAGAAUUUAAGAGCACUAAUAACUUGAGUGAGGAAUAUUGCACAUGGACGAUGGAUCUCUCUCUCUCUCUUUGAAAAAAAAGAAAAAAGAAACAAAAAUCAACUUCAUUAUCCUUAGUGAAUUUGUUCUGGAUUAGUUGUGUUGCAAUGGAACAUCGAACCUACCUAGCUAAAAGGAAAAAAGAAAGGCCACUACGACAGUACUGCAGUAUAUUAUUCCAAGAAGACAAAUGUAAACUAUAUACGUGAAGAAUAUCUAUUAUUGGUCGUCAUUUUCAAUCCUCAUAAAAGAAAACUUACUUCGCCAUAAUUUCAGGUUGUUCUCAAGGCAGGAAGGUAAGGACACUUGAAAAGAUUCCUUCUCAUCAUCUAUACAAGGAAAUGUGUUCUCAUCAAGCUAGGGGACAAGGCAAAUUAGCAACCUUUAUACUCGAUAUAUUAUUCCAAGCAGAUAUACAUGUGAAGAAUAUUAUGAUCUUGAUCAAUAUGGAAUCAGUGGGUGUAUCGAUCGACCAUCCAAAGAAAAAGGAUAUCCUCUGCAUAUAUGUGUGCAUGCCAACAACUAUAAAAGGAGACCAUGAGGCAAUGAGUUGAUCAUCAAAGCAAACACACAGAUAUCCCAACUAAAAAUCAUUCAGUGAGACAAUGGCUGGAACCAAUGAUAUUAAAAUUAAAGGGUUCGAUUUGAGCAAAAACAGCGGCAACACGUCCGGAUUAACCCACUUCGCCAACAGAGCUGACGAGGGCGACAAGGGCGACAAUAAAAUCGAGGUUGAGGAUGCUAAAGCGCAAGAUAACAAGGGAAACUUGAAAGUACUGACCGACUUCGCCCAACGUGGUAAGGUGGGCCAGUCGGAUCGCCAAGAAAUCACGGGGAGCAAGCCACUUCAGACGGCAGCAUGAAAUUGAUGAAGGCCAUACCAUAAUAAAAUAUCUACACUAAAAUAAGAGCUGAUGCAGUAUCUGAGGCUCCUUCCUUGGUUAGGCCUCAUUAUCAUGUGCAAUACUAAUAUUAUUAUUCUAAUAAAAUAAUGGUAGCUUAUUAUUAAAUAUAUCAAAAUUCUAUACGUAUAACUUUUAGAUUAUUGAUACUGAUGACAUACCAACAAGAGAAAACGAUUCAAAAGUCCUUUCUCCAAUUCGUGAUGUUACAAAAUGAGACGUCAAAUUUAAAAAUAUAGUUGCAUACGAGUAUAAACUGAACCAAUAAGCAAUGUAUGAGUGACCAAAGGUCUCAAACGAUGCAUUUAAGAAGAAGGGUACUAAAUUAAAAGAUGUACGCCAGUGAACUAUGGCAAUCUCUCGUUGCAUGCACGCAUAUGCAAUUGAAGAAGACCUAACUUAUAUCACGAAGAAGUGGAUGGGUCUUUACAUAUGAAGUUUUUAAAAUUAACACUACCGGAAGACAAUAGGAGUAUCGGCGUAUCUGAUACAAGUAUCGGAGUCUCGGAGUAUUAGAUUUGAGCAUACCUGUCCAAAUAGGAGUAUCGGUGCAACAUAGAUGAAAAGGAAUUGGAUGUGAUUUCACAUAUUUUUAAAGAACAGGGGAAAUAAACCAAUUAAUCUCUUUCGUCUUGUCCACACAUUUCUUGUUGCAAAUUUUGGUUUUCAAAAAAUUUGGCAUUUCAAGCAACUUGGAAAACAUUUUGAUGAUCCAUUAUUGAACCUCUAAAGUCGAUAUUCAAUCCCUAUCGACCUUGCUCAAAAAAUGUCUCAUUUCAAUUAGUGCAGAGAAAAAUAAAGGCAGAGUUGAAAAUAGAUUUUUCAGUUUGGAAAGUGACAUUGAGAUGUAAAAAGACUAGACAUUAAGGUGGCAAGAGAGAUCUAACAGGAUCAGACAAAAAAGGAAAAAAAAAUGAAUGAAAAAUAGAAAAUGCCCUAGAAAGGGGAGAACAACUUAGUUGCAAUGGGGAUAACAAUAUCUUGCUAUUACUGGUCAAUAAUUUUAUACCACGUGGCCUAGAAGGAGGCCUGUUAGUCCAACUCAUCUGGUCCACUUCCCAUUAUAUGAACCCGACUUGAGAGUUUUGGUUUUUUGGUUGAAGUAGAACAACCCGACUUGAGAAUUGAGGCAGCCAAACUAGAAGGGAAGCAGCCCACUCCACUCCCGCUCCCCAUGUGCCCAGUACUUCGCUUGUUUACUUCACCUUUUAAACCUUUUAGGAUUUUUUUUAUAGGAUAAGAGGAAAACGACGACAUUACAAGUUAUUACGCAUCAACGUAUGUAAUUUCUAGAUUAAAAUCUCACUUUUUACGCAUGUCAUUAUCUUAGGAUUAUGUAUUACUACGCACUGACAAUCUUACGAUUAUCUGCAAUUCAUCCUUCAAUGACCAAAGACGUUAUAUCAAAUCAACAAUAAGACAUACAUUUCUCCAAAUAACUAAAUUAUGUGGAUUUCAACUUGCUCUCAUUUAUAUGUUUGUCUCUCUCCUCCUAUUGAUUAGCCUCUCCAUAAGAGCAAAUAUGAAAAAAGAAGCUCCCAAUCCGAACUUUAAGUCACAAGUUUAACAGUUUACUUUUAAACAAAAGCAAGUUACGAAACAAUCCCCUGAUUUCCUUGUUAAACAUCAACCGACCCAUUAUUGAUGAGGAUUGAGAAUCUAAGAGCAUAUGGACGAUGGAUCUCUCUCUCUUUUUGAAAACAAAAACAAAAACAAAAAACAAAAAUCAACUUCAUUAUCCUUGGUGAAUUUGUUCUGGAUUAGUUGUUUUGAAUUAGUACAGCUUACGUACGCAAUGGAACAUCGAACUUAGCUAGCUAAAAGGAAAAAAGAAAGGCCACUACUACAGUACCGCAGUAUAUUAUUCCAAGAAGACAAAUGUAAACUAUAUACGUGAAGAAUCUCUAGUAUUGGUCGUCAUUUUCAAUCCUUAUAAAAGAAAGCUUGCUUCGCCAUAAUUUCAGGUUGUUCUCAAGGCAGGCAGAGAGAGUACGUAGCUUGGCAAGAAAGGUAAGGGCACUUCAAAAGAUUGUUUCUCAUCAUCUAUAUGAGGAAAUGUGUUGCCAUCAAGCUAGCGGACAAGGCAAAUUAGCAACCUUUAUACUCGAUAUAUUAUUCCAAGCAGAUAUACAUGUAAAUAUAUGUGAAGAAUAUUAUGAUCAUGAUCAAUAUAGAAUCUGUAUCAUGAUCAGAGGGUAUCGAUCCAGCAUCCAAAGAAAAAGGAUAUACUCUGCAUAUGUGCAUGCCAACAACUAUAAAAGGAGACCAUGAGGCAAUGAGUCGAUCAUCAACGGAAACACACAGAUAUCCCAACUAAAAAUCCAUCGUGAGACAAUGGCUGGAACCAAUGAUAUUAAAAUUAAGGGGUUUGAUUUGAGCAACAACAAAGGCAACACGUCGGGAUUAACCCACUUCGCCAACAGAGCUGACGGGGGCGACAAUGGCAACAAUAAAAUCGAGGUUGAGGAUGCUAAAGGGCAAGGGAACACGGGAAACUUGAAAGUACUGACCGACUUCGCCCAACGCGGUAAAGUGGGCCAGUCGGAUCGCCAAGAACUACUCAAACCUCAGGCAUGAAAUUGAAGAAGGCCAGACCACAACAACUUGUCUGCUUGAUAGAUAUAUGUGCUAAAUUAUCUACACAAAAAUAAGAGCUGAUGUUUUAUCUGAGGCUCCUUCCUUGGUUAGGCCUCGUUAUCAUGUGUAAUAUUAAUAUUAUUAUUCUAAUAAAAUAAUGGUAGCUUAUUAUUAAAUAUAUCAAAAUUCUAUACGUAUAACUUUUAGAUUAUUGAUACUGAUGUCAACAAGAGAAAAUGAUUAAAAAGUCCUUUCUCCAAUUCGUGAUGUUACAAAAUGAGACUUCAAAUUUUAAAACUAUAGUUGCAUACGAGUACAAAACUGAACCAAACAAUGUAUGGGCCAGAGUGACCAAGGAUGUACGCCAGUGAACUAAUGGCAAUCUCUCGUUGCAUGCACGCAUAUGCAAUUGAAGGAGGCAUUAUCUGAGGCUCCUUCCUUGGCUAGGCCUCAUUUUCAAUUUUGAUUUCAACUUUGAUUUUGCUUAAACUUUGAUUUUGAGCUAGACUGUGAUUUCGACUUUGAUCUCCCAAUUCGUGCCUUAAGAAUCAGUUUCUCCCAACUCUAUUUACCAAAACCGAAAACUCUGAACUUUUCAAUUCGUCUGGCUACUCUCAGGGUUUCAUGCCUUAGUUUCCUCUCGCCAAAAAGCCAAAAAGACUUGGCUUUCAUGUAAUGCUAUACUCCUCGAUUGAACAAGCCGCGUCUUCAAAUUCAGCUUUCUCACUUCCUUUCUCUUUACUUUCUUUCUUUUGUUUUCCGGCUGGGAAAAUCAUGGAAGCAUUACAAAUUUAAGAGAAUAUUCUAGUAUUAGGGUCCAAACUGUACUAUUUAGGUAUUUUCAUUCUGAUUAAGAGUUCUUUUCUAGAAAUUUGGGGAAGAAAAAAUAGAGUUUCUGUUUUAGUGUUUGAUUUUCAUUACAGUGAAUUAUGUGAAACCGAAAUGUUUCUUGUCUGAUUUCAUCACUGCUUUCAAAUUGCAAAUUAAGGAUUUGAAGGUUAACAAUGCCCGUCUUUAACAAUGUCGCAUUUCAAUUAGUACAAAAGAAAAAUAAAGGCAUAGUUGAAAAUAGAUUUUUCAGUUUCGAAAGUGACAUUGAGAUUUAAAAAGACUAGACAUUAAGAUGGCAAGAGAGAUCUAAAAGGAUCAAACAAAAAAAGUGAAUGAAAAAUUGAAAAUGCCCUAGAAAGGGAGGAAAUCUUAGUUGCAAUGGGGAUAACAAUGUUUUGCUAUCCUCGAACAAUAAUUUUACACCACGUGACCUAGAAGGAGGCAUGUUAAUCUAACUCAUCUGGUCCACCGUCCAUGAUAUGAACCCGACUUGUGAGUUUUUUUUUUUUUUUGUUGAAGUAGAACAACCAAACUUGAGAGUUGAUGUCACAUCUCAGGAUCGGCUUCACCGUAGCACGAUAUUGUCUGCUUUGGGCCCCCUCGCUGUCCUCGCGGUUUUGUUUCUAGGAGCUCACGAGCAACUUCUCAGUUGGUCACUCAUCUUAGGAUUGCUCUGGCCCAAACUCACUUAACUUCGGAGUUCUCAUGACUCCGAAGCUAGUGAGCUCCUAAAAGGCCUCGUACUAAAUGGAAGUGGGCAUAUAUAUAUAAGGCACAACACCCCAUCUUCGUUGGUUGAUGUGGAAUGUUACAAUCCACCCCCCUUAGAGGUCUGACUUCCUCGUCGGCACACUCUCACCACACGGCAGAGUGGCUCUGAUACCAAACUGUCACAUCCCGGGAACGGCUCCGUCGUAGCACGAUAUUGUCCGCAUUGGGCCAACCUUUCUGCCCUCACGGUUUUGUUACUGGGAGCUCACGAGCAACUUCCCAGUGAAUCACUCAUCCUGGGAUUGCUCUAGCCCAAACUCGCUUCACUUCGGAGUUCCUAUGACUCCGAAGCCAAUUAGCUCCCAAAAGACCUCGUGCUAGAUAAAGGUGGGCACGUACAUAUAAGGCACAUCACCUUCUCUUCGUUGAUCGAUGUGGGAUGUUACAGUUGAGGGCUCCGUUGGUCGAUGUAGGAUGUUACAGUUGAGGCAGCCAAACUAGAAGGGAAGCAACCCAACUCCACUCCCUCUCCCCAUGUGCCCAGUUCUCUGCUCGUUUACUUCACCUUUUAAACAUUUUAGGAUUUUCCAUAAGCAAAGAGGAGAACGACCACAUUACGGUCUCGUUUGGUUCACGAACAGAUUUAAGGGGAAAUAACUUCUCAUGUCAUUUCUCAAGGGAUGAGAAAUGGAGAUUCAUUUCCCAUAUUUGGUAAUCCUAGGAAAAUAACAAAGAAAUACCACUUUAUUUCCUUUCACAUGUUUGGUUUGUCUAGGAAUGUAAAACAAAGUUUGUUUAAUUUUCCAAUUAUACCGAUAUGAAAUCAAAUAAAAAAAGAAUAUUUAAUGUUAUAUUGUAAUUCUAAACUGUUAAUAGGGACAAUAUGAUCAUGAAAAAUGUGUAUUUAAUGUUGGCUCAUUUGCUUAUUUUCCCAAACUUUCACAUGAGGAGGAAAACAAAACCCAAGGGGGGAGGAUGGCUUCACUUUCCCCUCUACUUUCCCAUGUACAAGGCAACGAUUUCUCAAGUCUGGACUUACCAUACAUGGGAAAGAAAUUAAUUUCUCAUCCCCAAGUCAUUUUUCCCAUAAACCAAACGGAGCCUACAGGUUAUAAGCUUCAACCUUUAAGGAUUUUCAUAACAAAUCUUGCAAUCUCAUACCAAGGAAAUAAAAAUAAAAAAAAGGAUCCAUGCGUGUAAUUUCUAGAUUAAAAUCUCACUUUUUACGCAUGCCAUUAUCUAAGGAUUAGGUAUGACUACACACGAACAAUCUUACAAUUAUCUGCAAUUCGUCCUUCAAUGGCCAAAGACGUUAUAUCAAAUGAACAAUAAGACGUACAUUUCUUCAAAGAACUAAAUUAUGUGGAUUUCAACUUGCUCUCACUUAUAUGUUUCUCUCUCUCCUCCUAUUGUUUAGCUUAAGGUUUUAGGGCGUGGUUGUCUAAGAACAAUAAGGUAAACAUGCUUACAAAAAAAGAUGGACAGCAAGGAUGGACAUAUGCGAAUGUGAGCUUUUACACAUUGCCACUAAUUUUCUCCAUGAUUUUGUUGAAAUCAUUAACAAAAUAAGAAACUUUAGUAAUUGAAGCGAAAGAGACUAAUUAUCAGAAGAGAAAAUAUGAAAAAAGAAGCUCCCAAUCCAAACUUUAAGUCACAAGUUUAACAGUUUACUUUAAAACAAAAGCAAGUUACGAAACAAUCCCCUGAUUUCCUUGUUAAACAUCAACCGACCCAUUAUUGAUGAGGAUUGAGAAUCUAAGAGCAUAUGGACGAUGGAUCUCUCUCUCUUUUUGAAAACAAAAACAAAAACAAAAAUCAACUUCAUUAUCCUUAGUGAAUUUGUUCGGGAUUAGUUGUGUUGAAUUAGUACAGCUUACUUACGCAAUCGAAUAUCAAACCUAGCUAGCUAAAAAGAGAAAAAGAAAGGCCACAACGACAGUACUGUAGUAUACGUGAAGAAUCUUAUGAUCUAUAAUAUUCUGUAUUAUUGGCCAUCAUUUUCAAUCCUUAUUAAAGAAAACUUGCUUCGCCAUAAUUUCAAGUUGUUCUGAAGGCAGGCAUAGAGAGCACGUAGCUUGGCAAGGGAGGUAAGGGCACUUCGAAAGAUUCCUUCUCAUCAUCUAUACAAGGAAAUGUGUUCUCAUCAAGCUACGGGACAAGGCAAAUUAGCAACCUUUAUACUCAGAUAUAUUAUUCCAAGCAGAUAAACAUGUAAAUAUAUGUGAAGAAUAUUAUGAUAAUGAUCAAUAUAGAAUCUGUAACAUUAUCAGAGGGGUAUCGAUCGACCAUCCAAAGAAAAGGAUAUCCUCUGCAUAUGUGCAUGCCAACAACUAUAAAAGGAGACCAUGAGGCAAUGAAUCAUCAAAGCAAAGACACAGAUAUCCCAACUAAAAAUCAAUCAGUGAGACAAUGGCUGGAACUGGAACCAAUGAUAUUAAAAUUAAAGGGUUCGAUUUGAGCAACAACAGCGGCAACACGUCGGGAUUAACCCACUUCGCCAACAGAGCUGAUGGGGGCGACAAGGGCGACAAUAAAAUCGAGGUUGAGGGUGCUAAAGCGCAAGAUAACAAGGGAAACUUGAAAGUACUUACCGAUUUCGCCCAACGCGGUGAAGUGGGCAGGUCGGAUCGCCAAGAACUUCUCAAGCCUCAGGCAUGAAAUUGAAGAAGGCCAUACCAUAUAUGUGCUGAAUUAUCUACACAAAAAUAAGAGCUGAUGUUUUAUCUGAGGCUCCUUCCUUGGUUAGGCCUCGUUAUCAUGUGUAAUAUUAAUAUUAUUAUUCUAAUAAAAUAAUGGCAGCUUAUUAUUAAAUAUAUCAAAAUUCUAUACGUAUAACUUUUAGAUUCUUGAGUGGGAAACCCUAGCUGCAUUCUGGUCCCUUUUCUUCUUGCCGACAACCAACCACAAGGAAACUAAAGGGGGAGGUGGCCACUGCCCCUCCCCCCCUUCGCCCAUCUUCCCUUUCUCUCCUCAUCUUCCCUUCUUUUUCUCCCAUCUUUUCCCUUCCUCUUAUGCCCUCUUCUCUUCCCAUUCCCUUUCCCAUAUAGUCUAGAUCUAUUUGGAUCUAGGUUUUGUUUGUUUGUUUGUUUGGUUUGGUUUGGUUGUUUUUGCAGUAUUCUAGGUGACUGGUAGUGACGUUGGAUUGUGUCUAUUAUCGGGAGAGUUGUGAUACCUAGUGGCUGAUGUUUUGUCUCUGUUUCAACGACGGCGGCAGUAGCGACACUAGUGAUAGUUAUUGGAUGUGGUGCUCUUCUUUAUUCUGCACUUACCGAAGAACUAUGCUUGGUCAUAGGAGGUUUUCUUUGUCAGAUUCUGAGUUGAAGUGGAGUGCUUCUUAGGGGUCCUUUUAUUGUUGCUUCUAUGUUCCUCCUCUGUGUUCUCUCCUGUUUUCUGUUAUGGUAUGCCUUGUAGUUUGUAUGGGUGUCAAAAUACUAUGAUUUUGCUCAUAGAAGGCUUCUUUUGACAGUUGGGAUAUUCUACGAUCCUCUUCUGUGGGUUUACUAUUUGGGGUUUCUGUCGUUCUCUCAUGUGGGUGUACUAUGUUGGUAUCUAGUUGAGGUUUUCGUCGGAGUUCUUUUUGUUAGUUUUCGUUUUUGAUUUGUUCUUUUAUUGUAAUGGUCCAAAGCGACCAGAAUUAAACUCUCUUGUUAGUCCAUGACAUGUGUGGUACUCUUUUCUCCCCGGGGUUUGUCCCUUGAGAUUGCCCUAGGAAGGUUUUAACGAGGCCACUAUAUCAUGUUGCUCAUUGUACGUCUUUGGUUCUAUUAAUUAAUUCUCUUUCUUAAAAAUAACAAAAAUAAAUAAAUAAAUAAAUAAAAAUUUAGAUUAUUGAUAACGAUGUCAACAAGAGAAAAUGAUUAAAAAGUCCUUUCUCCAAUUCGUGAUGUUACAAAAUGAGACUUCAAAUUGUAAAACUAUAGUUGGAUACGAGUAUAAAACUGAACCAGGCAAUGUAUGGGCCAGAGUGACCAAGGUUGUACGACAGUGAACUAAUGGCAAUUUCUCGUUGCAUGCACGCAUAUGCAAUUGAAGAAUGCCAUAAUAAUAUGUGUUUUUACUAAAUUAUCUACACUAAAAUAAAAACUGAGGCAUUAUCUGAGGCUCUUUCCUUGGCUAGGCCUCAUUUUCAAUUUUGAUUUCAACUUUGAUUUCGCUUAAACUUUGAUUUUGAGCUAGACUGUAAUUUCGACUUUGAUUCUGAUUCUCUCCCAAUUCAUGCCUUAAGAAUCAGUUUCUCCCAACUCUAUUUACCAAAACCAAAAACUCUAAACUUUUCAAUUCGUCUGGGUACUCUCAGAGUUUCAUGCCCUAGUUUCCUCUCGCCAAAAAGCCAAAAAGACUUGGCUUUCAUGUAAUGCUAUACUCCUCGAUUGAACAAGCUGCGUCUUCAAAUUCAACUUUCUCACUUCCCUUCUCUUUACUUUCUUUUCUUUUGUUUUCCAGCCCGGAAAAUCAUGGAAGCAUUACAAAUUUAAGAGAAUAUUCUAGUAUUAGGGUCCAAACUGUACUAUUUAGGUAUUUUCAUUCUGAUUAAGAGUUCUUUUCUAGAAAUUUGGUGAAGAAAAAAUAGAGUUUCUGUUUUAGUGUUUGAUUUUCAUUAUAGUGAGUUAUGUGAAAUCGAAAUGUUUCUUGUGUGAUUUCAUCACUGCUUUCAAAUUGCAAAUUAAGGAUUUGAAGGUUACAAAUUAUUAUGUAGAUAAUUUUUGGGAAUUUAAGAGGCAGUACAGUGUUUGUAUAAGUCUUGAGAUAGACCAAUUUACCACAUGCUCGAUUUCUAUAUAUAAAUUUUUUUAAAUCAUUCUUUUGUUUUAUUUAUUCUGUUAAUUUGUCAUAAUGUGUAAUAUGAUAGCUUCUAAUUCUUUCUUCCUAUUUCUUCUUUUUUGUUAUUCUCUCCCAAAUGAAAUGAAGACCUAACUUAUAUCAAGAAGAAGAGGAUGGAUCCUUACAUAUGAAGAUUUUAAAAUUAACAUUAUUGGAAGACAGUAGGAGUAUCGGCAAUUUGAUACAAGUAUCGGAGUAUCAAAUACGAGCAUGCCCGUCUUUAACAAUGUCUCAUUUCAAUUAGUACAAAAGAAAAAUAAAGGCAGAGUUCAAAAUAGAUUGUUCAGUUUCGAAAGUGACAUUGAGAUUUAAAAAGACUAGACAUUAAGAUGGCAAGAGAGAUCUAAAAGGAUCAAACAAAAAAAAUGAAUGAAAAAUUGAAAAUGCCCUAGAAAGGGAGGAAAUCUUAGUUGCAAUGGGGAUAACAGUAUUUUGCUAUCCUCGAUCAAUAAUUUUAUACCACGUGACCUAAGGAGGCAUGUCAAUCUAGCUCAUCUGGUCCACCGUCCAUGAUAUGAACUCGACUUGAGAGUUUUUUUUUUUUUUUUUUUUUUUUUUUGGGGUUGAAGUAGAACAACUAGACUUGAGAGUUGAUGUCACAUCUCAAGGUCGGUUCCACCGUAGCACGAUAUUGUCUGCUUUGGGCCCCCUCUUUGUCCUCGCGGUUUUGUUUUUAGGAGCUCACGAGCAACUUCCCAGUUGGUCACCCAUCUUGGGAUUGCUCUAGCCCAAACUCACUUAACUUCGGAGUUCUCAUGACUUCGAAAUCAGUGAGCUCCCAAAAGGCCUCGUGCUAAAAGGAGGUGGGCAUAUACAUAUAAGGCGCAACACCCCCUCUCCGUUAGUCGAUGUGGAAUGUUACAAUCCACCCCCUUUAGAGGUCCGACGUCCUCGUCGGCACAGUCUCACCACACGGCAGAGUGGCUCUAUGCCAAAUUGUCGCAUUCCGGGAUCGGCUCCGUCGUAACACGAUAUUGUCCGCGUUGGGUCAACCUCUCUGCCCUCACGAUUUUGUUUCUGGGAGCUUACGAGCAACUUCCCAGUAGAUCACUCAUCCAAACUCGCUUAACUUCGGAGUUCCCAUGACUCCGAAGCCAGUGAGCUCCCAAAAGACCUCGUGCUAAAUGGAGGUAGGCAUGUACAUAUAAGGCACAUCACCUCCGCUCCGUUGGUCGAUGUGGGAUGUUACAGUUGAGGGCUCCGUUGGUCGAUGUACGAUGUUACAGUUGAGGGCUCCGUUGGUCGAUGUAGGAUGUUAUAGUUGAGGCAGCCAAAAUAGAAGGGAAGCAACCCUACUCCACUCCCUCUCCCCAUGUGCCCAGUUCUCUACUCGUUUACUUCACCUUUUAAACCCCUUCGUACUUGAAGACCUGGCUGGCAAUUUGAUUGAAGCGAAAGAGACUAAUUAUCCAUGCUUUUGUUGAAAUCAUUAACAAAAUAAGAAACUUUAGUAAUUGAAGCGAAAGAGACUAAUUAUCAAAACAGAAAAUAUGAAAAAAGAAGCUCCCAAUCCGAACUUUAAGUCACAAGUUUAACAGUUUACUUUAAAACAAAAGCAAGUUACGAAACAAUCCCCUUAUUUACUUGUUAAACAUCAACCGACCCAUUAUUGAUGAGGAUUGAGAAUCUAAGAGCACAUGGACGAUGGAUCUCUCUCCCUUUUUGAAAACAAAAACAAAAACCAACUUCAUUAUCCUUAGUGAAUUUGUUCUGGAUUAGUUGUGUUGCAAUGGAACAUCGAACCUACCUAGCUAAAAGGAAAAAAGAAAGGCCACUACGACAGUACUGCAGUAUAUUAUUCCAAGAAGACAAAUGUAGACUAUAUACGUGAAGAAUAUCUAGUAUUGGUCGUCAUUUUCAAUCCUCAUAAAAGAAAACUUACUUCGCCAUAAUUUCAGGUUGUUCUCAAGGCAGGAAGGUAAGGACACUUGAAAAGAUUCCUUCUCAUCAUCUAUAUAAGGAAAUGUGUUCUCAUCAAGCUAGGGGACAAGGCAAAUUAGCAACCUUUAUACUCGAUAUAUUAUUCCAAGCAGAUAUACAUGUGAAGAAUAUUAUGAUCUUGAUCAAUAUGGAAUCUGUAUCAUGAUCAGUGGAUGUAUCGAUCGACCAUCCAAAGAAAAAGGAUAUCCUCUGCAUAUAUGUGUGCAUGCCAACAACUAUAAAAGGAGACCAUGAGGCAAUGAGUUGAUCAUCAAAGCAAACACACAGAAAUCCCAACUAAAAAUCAAUCAGUGAGACAAUGGCUGGAACUGGAACCAAUGAUAUUAAAAUUAAAGGGUUCGAUGUGAGCAACAACAGCGGCAACACGUCGGGAUUAACCCACUUCGCCAACAGAGCUGCCGAGGGCGACAAGGGCGACAAUAAAAUCGAGGUUGAGGAUGCUAAAGGGCAAGGGAACACGGGAAACUUGAAAGUACUGACCGACUUCGCCCAACGCGGUAAAGUGGGCCAGUCGGAUCGCCAAGAACUUGUCAAACCUCAGGCAUGAAAUUGAAGAAGGCCAUACCAUAACCACUUGUCUGCUUGAUAGAUAUAUGUGCUAAAUUAUCUACACAAAAAUAAGAGCUGAUGUUUUAUCUGAGGCUCCUUCCUUGGUUAGGCCUCGUUAUCAUGUGUAAUAUUAAUAUUAUUAUUCUAAUAAAAUAAUGGUAGCUUAUUAUUAAAUAUACCCAAAUACUAUACGUAUAACUUUUAGAUUAUUGAUACUGGUGUCAACAAGAGAAAAUGAUUAAAAAGUCCUUUCUCGCAUUCGUGAUGUUAGAA
rnacentral:lncRNA from 1 species